UGGUUAAAUUUUGUAAGGGCUGAUUCAGUUCAUUAGCUUGUUAGUGUGUUAAUUAAGGAACGUUUUAAACAUUCUGGAACAAGACUGAUGAGUGGAAUCAGGUGUUUCAUAUAAGGAGACAUUUAAAACAUUUUGGGAGGGGGACCUUGAGGACUGAAGUUGGGAACUGACCUAAAGGAUUAUUAGGAACACCUGUUCAAUUUCUCAUUUAUGCAGUUAUCUAAUCAACCAAUCACAUGGCAGUUGCUUCAAUGCAUUUAGGGGUGUGGUCCUGGUCAAGACAAUCUCCUGAACUCCAAACUGAAUGUCAGAAUGGGAAAGAAAGGUAUGGCGUUUAAUCAGACCCAGCACACACAAAAACCACGCGCGAGUAAGAGAUACGAGCACGCGAACACUAUUCGAGCGCUAAAAAGCAGAACACAAUUGUGUAAAGCAUCCUUGCGAGAGCGCACCUCCGCUCAGCACGCACAAAUGCAGUCACGCGAGCAAGGGCUUGGAUGAGCUUUUGCACGACUCUGACUCUCUCUAUGCUCUCACAGCUGUACCACACACGCUCGCUCGAUCAAUAUGACUUUUGGGUCUUUGGGGGCGGGACAUUGACUGAUGUCUUCGUGCCUAUGAUUGGUUGGUUGAUUUAAUCAGUGAUUCGUUGUCUUGUUUGAUCCAUGCAAUAGGCUGCAAACCAAACAAUAAUGCCAAUUUUAUUAUAUAUUUUGUUUACUGUUUAUCAUCCUGCAAUAUAUACUAUAGGCUACAUAUUGACAUUGUCAGGUUACAGAGUUGGUUCAGACUUAGCAUUAGCAAACUUUAGUAUAGUCCUGUACAUAUAUAUAAACAAACUAAAUUUGAACUCCAAAUAUAUAUACUCCAAUAUAUAUAUAUAUUAGUUUUUGUAGCCAUUCUGUAUCUUUUCAGGGUUAAAAUAGCAUUUAAUUUUACUCUGUUGUUGUAUUUGAGUUUCAUUUCAUUUGCCAUAAUAUGGUUGUUAAAUUAUCUACAUAUUAAACAACAAACAAAAUACAUACCUUAAAAAGGGGCAUAUUGUUUGGUUAUGUUUGCAUGGUUUAAACAAGACUAAUGUUUUAACAUAGAUUACCUACUUCGACAUAAUGAUGAUCAUAUUAAAACAUGUUUUCUCUACCUAGAUUGACUGGAGAUGGAUUGUGGACCAAGAGAUCAUGCAUGUCACUAAUCAAAUCAAACAACCAAUCACAGAUGCAGAGACAUCAGUCAAUGUCCCGCCCCCAAAGUCGCGAAAGUAAUCACGAGCGAGCGCGUGUGGUGCAGCUGUGAGACCAUAGAGAGAGUCGAGCAAGUGCUCAUCCAAACCCUUGCUCACGUGACUGCAUUUGUGCGCGCUGAGCGGAGGGGCGCUCUCGCGAGGAUGCUUUUUCCGCGUGCGAAUAGUUUUCUGCGCCAUGUAUCUCACCCUCGCGCGUGGUUUUUGUGCGCGCGACUUUUGGGUCUGAUUAAACGCCACAGAAAGGUUUUAAGGAUUUAAGCAAUUUUGAGUGUGGUAUGGACUGAUUCAACCUGACAGAAGAGCAACUGUGACUGAAAUAACCACUCGUUACAACCGAGGUAUGCCGCAAAGCAUUUGUGAAGCCACAACACGCACAACCUCGAGGUGGAUGGGCUACAACAGCAGUAGACCCCACCGGGUACUACUUAUCUCCACUACAAAUAGGAAAAAGAGGCUACAAUUUGCACAAGCUCACCAAAAUUGUUGAAAAAUGUUGCCUGGUCUGAUGAGUCUCUGUUGAGACAUUCAGAUGGUAGAGUCAGAAUUUGGCGUAAACAGAAUGAGAACAUGGAUUCAUCAUGCCUUGUUACCACUGUGCAGGCUGGUCGUGUAAUGGUGUGGGGGAUGUUUCCUUGGCACCUUAGUGCCAAUUGGGCAUCAUUCAAAUGCCACAUCCUAUCUGAGCAUUGUUUCUGACCAUGACCAUCCCUUUAUGACCACCAUGUACUCAUCCUCUGAUGGCUACUUCCAGCAGGAUAAUGCACCAUGUCACAAAGCUCGAAUCAUUUCAAAUUGUUUUCUUGAACAUGACAAUGAGUUCACUGUACUAAAAUGUCCCACACAGUCACCAGAUCUCAACCCAAUAGAGCAUCUUUGGGAUGUGGUGGAUGGGAGCCUCGUGCCCUGGAUGUGCAUCCCACAAAUCUCCAUCAACUGCAAGAUGCUAUCCUAUCAAUAUAGGACAACAUUUCUAAAGAAUGCUUUCAGCACCUUGUUGAAUCAAUGCCACAUAGUAUUAAGGCAGUUCUGAAGGCAAAAGAGGGUCAAACACAGUAUUACUAUGGUGUUCCUAAUAAUCCUUUAGGUGAUUGUAUUAAGUGCGUUGUUUGUAGCUCUAGCAUGAUAAGCGUUGCAUUUACCAUGCUUUUACCACAGUAACUAUAGAUCUACUGUGUUAUUUGUAGUUAAAACAAUACGCAUUGAAGUUACCAUGCUUUUUAAGAUAAAGCAUGUAUGUUGCAUUGUUGCUUUGUUUUAAUGCCAUCAAAACUUGAAUUUCUUACACUCUGCGGCUCCAGAGUGCGAGUGAAAUGAUUAUAAUAGCAUCAGGCAGAGGAAGCAACCGACAAACAGGUUAACCUCAAAAUCAUCAUUAAAUAAUUUUCCGUCAUCUAACAAAUUUCAACCCUGGACAGCAUUAAUUUAAAUAUUCAUACAUUUGUGCAAAAUAUACUUUGAUCAUUCACUUGUAUGUAUCAUACAUAAAUGCAUUUAUAUAACAUUUUAAGAUAAAGUUUUAAACUGUACAGAUUAUGACAAAUCACAUUUGUUUUUUAAGAUGGAAAAGAGAGAAGACAAACUUCACCGAAAGAUUUAGGAGGAAAAGGCCAAAUUCGUUGUGACUAUAGAUGAGUACAACAGGGCAGCACCUGAAAAACUGCUGUCAGCUGAUACAAUUCUGGCAUCUGGGAGUUACGCAUGGCCAUGGGUAUGGAAUGAGCAUGGACGGUCGUCACCAAUCCUGGUCAUGGGGGGUCUCUGCAGAUUUUAAAUGAAACCUCUGCUAAUUAGCCAUGACUGCUGCUUCCUACUGUUACAGACCAGGACUGUGGGCUCUCUGACAGUGGAGUUCUAGGACUUCACUUCCUGCUAAAGAAAAGACAAUACUACAUCAUCUCCUCUGUUCGCCAGUUGUACUGUACUGUGCUUGACAACUUUUCUGAGCUGUUUGGGAACAUAAAAGAUGAUGAUUACUUUAGGGAAAUUCACAUGGAUGAGGAGGUUAUCCACUAUUGUGGUGGUGGUGGUGGUGAUGAUGACGAUGAUGAGGAUGAGUAUGAAAAGUCAUUGUUUCCUCAGUCAGUAUAAAGUGUACACUCAAGUCAGAUUUUAAAGACAAGGUCAAGGUUAAACCAGGAUUAUGCCUUAGCUAAAAUUGGACAUUUACACUACUUUUAAAAAUGUGACUUACAAAUAAACUUACUGAUGUGCAUCUUGAGACAAAAUGAUGGCGCUGAUAUAUUUAAAGAUAUGUCAGUAAAAGUUGUUUUUUUGUUAAGACAGCUCAAAUAUACAUUUUAGUUUGGGACUAGGCUUAGGCCUUGUGAUCGAUUGAAGUUGCAAUUCACUAGUGUAGUGGAUGAAAACUUGUUUAGAAUGAUAAAGUUGUCUCCCAAUAGUUAAAUAGUUCAUCUUAUUUCCCCACGUCCCAAGUUACCUUAUGUCAUCUAUGUGAUUAUAUCUGUAUUUUAUCUUGUGUAUAUUACUGAAACUGCCAGUUGACCUUUUUUCCUUUAAUAUUAAGCAUCACAUACGGUAUAUAGACUCCACCACAUAAAUAUAGACUGUCUUUUUUAGUUUCAGUUAAUUAAACAAGACUGUAUGCUGUGAUGUUUAUCUUAGUAAUGUUUUACAUUGUUUACAUUUACAUUACAAAGGUGUUGUGAAAAUAUGUAAUUUUAUAUUGUUUGUCCAAUCAUUUUUAUAUUAGAUAUUGUAAUACGUUGCUGAUAUUAUUAGUGUUAUUAUUACUGAUGUAACAUUUAUGACUUUUUGGACAGUGUUGUAAAAUGCCUUCAUUGUUAUUCAUAAAGUGACAAAUAAAAUUGACCAAAUUCACGUGAAAACAACUUCCUGUUUUUUAUCAUAAAUUGUACUAUUAUGAUAUGUAUAUUUAAUGUUACAAACUUCAUUGCUCUAGAAUAAAAAUCUGUAAUUAAAGUA